GAUGAACGCUGGCGGCGUGCCUAAUACAUGCAAGUCGAGCGAACAGAUGAGGAGCUUGCUCCUCUGACGUUAGCGGCGGACGGGUGAGUAACACGUGGAUAACCUACCUAUAAGACUGGGAUAACUUCGGGAAACCGGAGCUAAUACCGGAUAAUAUUUUGAACCGCAUGGUUCAAUAGUGAAAGACGGUUUUGCUGUCACUUAUAGAUGGAUCCGCGCCGCAUUAGCUAGUUGGUAAGGUAACGGCUUACCAAGGCAACGAUGCGUAGCCGACCUGAGAGGGUGAUCGGCCACACUGGAACUGAGACACGGUCCAGACUCCUACGGGAGGCAGCAGUAGGGAAUCUUCCGCAAUGGGCGAAAGCCUGACGGAGCAACGCCGCGUGAGUGAUGAAGGUCUUCGGAUCGUAAAACUCUGUUAUUAGGGAAGAACAUAUGUGUAAGUAACUGUGCACGUCUUGACGGUACCUAAUCAGAAAGCCACGGCUAACUACGUG
rnacentral:rRNA from 1 species